ACACACCUGCUAGUGACAUCAGCAUCAUCUACACACCUGCUAGUGACAUCAGCAUCAUCUACACACCUGCUAGUGACAUCAUGCUCCUCUUCACCUGCUAGUAACUUGUCUGCUUUGUGAUAAGCAAAUUUUGCUAUCUUCUAAUCCAUCAAAGUCCUCAUCUUCUGUGUCUGAGUCUGAGCUUUCUUCAUCUAACAUGCCGGGUUCCCUCUCAUCAUGGUUGAUCACUGCCAGUGUACGUAGUGUACGUAUUACAUCCCUGUGUCAGCAGGAUAUGGUCUGACAGUCAGCCUCGCGUGUGGAGAUUUCAGAAGAUACCAGACCUCACAAAGAUUUCAGAAAGCUGCUAAAUAAUCCUUAUAUUGUAAUCAUUGCCCUAAAAGGGAGGAACUUGUCAGCAAAUCUACUUCACAGCACAUCAGUGAAAGCAGUUGACAGUUACAGACAUGUGUUGGAUCAGGGUCAGAUCUGAAUUCUGCAGGUUUCCUGGGAUGACCGUUGGCCUGGACAGAUGCACAGUACACCACACUGACUUCUUUGCAUGGAUAGCUGACUACUACUAUUAUGUUCUGUGAAGGUACUAUUAUAGCAAACCUGAGCACCUGUGACAGUGGAAAUGUUGUAAUGAAUAGUCACACAUGCAUAUUUAUAAACUGAAAGUCACAGAUAAAUUUUUUUAGUACUAACAAUGUAUGUUUUUUUUGUACUAAUUCUCUCCAGCAAACACAACAGUUAUACCAUUUCAUAUUUUGAGGUGCACAAACCCUAUUUUACAAAUAAGAGAAAAGUAUAGACCCUUUGCACGUGACGUCACCCUCUACUCACGCGAAUUGUGAACGCCAUGACGGACGGCAAUAGAGCUUUGCUGUAGGACGGACCGCAAGCCAAACGAGUAUGAAUUCGUGUUCGUUCGUGUAAUAAAAUGUUUUUUUGUUUUUUUUACUUGUAAGCACAGUGCAGUGAUAAUGGUCAAACUGUGUAUUUACAAUGUUAAAGUGGCUGACAACAAUAAAUAUUCUUAUUAUGAAUAAAACUGCAUCGUUUUUUAACUGUGCAGAGCAGUAACGUAAGCUGAAUAGUUAGGCCUACUACGCUACUGUAAGUUUAAUAUUGGUCAUUGUGGUGGUACUUGGACAGCCAAAUAUUUUCUUGGUACUUGGUAUAAAACGUUAUAGAUCAACUGCAUUAGAAAGUUGCAUUGUCACACCCAGUGAACAUCGGUAACUUAAGUGGGUAGCCACGAACAACCAGGUCCUUUAAAAACAGGUUACGUUAAGUUACAAAGAACUGGUAAGCAUCCAGACUUUUAAAAAGCUUUGACCUCAUCACCAGUGUAUGGGGAUAACCCGUUUACCACAUAGUGGUACAGAUUGUGUGGAAUGAAGUCGGGUAGACUCGGCGAUUUAAUGAGGUCCGUGAAAACAGAGGAAAAAGGUAAGGAUCGGUAUCCAAUCCCACGAUCUCCAAGUUCUCCAAAUACUGUUCUUUGUGAGCACCUACCAGAUGCCCUACCUCGACCGAUAACGGCACGACAGCUUGUUCAAUAGAAGAAGCCAUAAAGUUUAGUGUUAUUUUAUUUUAAACUGAUUGAAACUUCCCGCUCGUCCACUACUAUUUAGCUUGUGCUUCCGGUGAUUCUGCCGUCCGUCAUGGCGUCGUCACGUGGUCGUAGUCACGUGUUUGCAAAAAGGUCUAUACAAGUGCUCAGUUUAGCCCCUUUCACACUGAGAUUCUAGAUAAUACACGGGUAAUGUGUCCUGGCAAUUGUUCCCGGAUAAUUAGAUUUUGGUUCAUUCACACUGCCAGUGAUUUUCCGGAAUUCACGGACCAUAAAGAUCCAGUAAAGACACAUGACAUUACGAUGUGUUUUGUUUCUCUUAAGCUGGUGAACGAUGUCAGCUUCAGAACGGAUAAUGAGGAACUAACUGAUCUCUGUGUUACUACAGUUUGUGAGAGAGAAAGAAACAAAUACAAGCUUGCAACUCCAAAAACAUUUUCUUGAUGAUUUAUUGAAAUAUUCUCUACAAAUACAAAUUCCAAUGUCACAAGUGCUAAAUUUUGUUAUAAUAAGGUACAAAGUGUCUCUAUUGUACAGUAGAUGUACUGUAUGCAAAUAUAACAGGGACAUUAACAUUAACUUUGUCUAAUUGUGGCCUAAAUGAUAAAACCUGACCUGAUUAGGUCACAUCCCUGAUAUUACAAACAACUCAAGUUUUGAUUGCAAAUGAAAAUUCUACUAUGUACUUCUGUCUUCUUUAUAAAUCAUCAUCUCACUUAUAUGUCUUUUAUUUUGUGGAACACAAAAGCAAAGAGUGACAGCCUCAGUCACCAUU